GGUUAUUUUUGCAGCGCUUCAACGACAUUGUGGUCAGGAUUUGAACGGCUUUAUGGUCGCAAUUUCCAGUUAUGGCAAUUGAGUUUUUCUCAGAGACUAGGUAUUCCACAUAAUUGCCCUUAGCCACCACCUCAAGGCGGCAGCGGCGGCGAUUCCUCCAUCAUUUUCCUUGUCCUCUUCGCUUUCCUCGCCAUUUUAGCCGUGACGGUUCUUCCAACAUCAUCAACUAUAUCAAUUAUGCACCAAGUCCUAGAAGGUCAUUUUGGGGUAUAUUGGAGAGGAGGUUUUCAUCUCAAGCUGCCUCUGGUCACCCCAUUUUGAAUAUGUUCAAGUGACCCUGCAUAUUGAUCAGGUAACUUUGGUAAUCCAUGUUUGGAAGAUUGAGGAUUCUGUCUUUCCAUGCAUUAUAGUUUUGAAAGCAUCUGUUAGCAACAUUGUAGGUAAGGGAUAUUCCAUGUGGUACAAAAGGGGUUGUCAUGAUCAAUUUUGAGAAGAUUGAGGUAAGGCUAUGUGAUAUUAUUCUUUAGUAUUUGUAUAUUAGUUUCACUUAGUCGAAGGUCUUGAAAACUCCAUUUAAUAAGUCCAAAAUGUGUAUUCCUUUAGGAACCGUUCGAUAACCAUUUGGUUUUUGUUUAGAUUUAUUUUUGGGCAUUUACGAUAACUUUACUUUAGUAUAUGUAGAUUUAAUAUUACAAUGUUUUAUAAAUUUAUAUAUUAUCUUCUUCUUAGGUUCUUCAAGCAUUUAGCUUCUUAGAAUAUCAUUUUUUUAAAAAAAGCUGGAGUAGUGCAUUUUAUAGUGUGGCCUAACUUCCUUUUCAUUGAAGUGGGAUUUUUUAGAGGGGCUGGUGGAUCUCUGAAAAGGAACUUGGUGGAAAUUCCUUAUUACACU